rnacentral:rRNA from 1 species
AUUGAACGCUGGCGGCAGGCCUAACACAUGCAAGUCGAACGAAGCCUUCGGGCUUAGUGGCGGACGGGUGAGUAACACGUGGGAACGUACCUUUUGGUUCGGAACAACUCAGGGAAACUUGAGCUGAUACCGGAUGAGCCCUUAGGGGGAAAGAUUUAUCGCCGAAAGAGCGGCCCGCGUUAGAUUAGCUAGUUGGUGAGGUAAAGGCUCACCAAGGCAACGAUCUAUAGCUGGUCUGAGAGGAUGAUCAGCCACACUGGGACUGAGACACGGCCCAGACUCCUACGGGAGGCAGCAGUGGGGAAUCUUGCGCAAUGGGCGAAAGCCUGACGCAGCCAUGCCGCGUGAAUGAUGAAGGCCUUAGGAUUGUAAAAUUCUUUUACCAGGGACGAUAAUGACGGUACCUGGAGAAAAAGCCCCGGCUAACUUCGUGCCAGCCGCCGCUGUAAAAC